rnacentral:rRNA from 1 species
UUUGCGUCGAAGGUAUACCGGUAAGGAGUGCUGGAGCGAAUAGAAGUGAGCAUGCAGGCAUGAGUAGCGAUAAUUAAUGUGAGAAUCAUUAACGCCGUAAACCCAAGGUUUCCUACGCGAUGCUCGUCAUCGUAGGGUUAGUCGGGUCCUAAGUCGAGUCCGAAAGGGGUAGACGAUGGCAAAUUGGUUAAUAUUCCAAUACCAACAUUAGUGUGCGAUGGAAGGACGCUUAGGGCUAAGGGGGCUAGCGGAUGGAAGUGCUAGUCUAAGGUCGUAGGAGGUUAUACAGGCAAAUCCGUAUAACAAUACUCCGAGAACUGAAAGGCUUUUUGAAGUCUUCGGAUGGAUAGAAGAACCCCUGAUGCCAUCGAGCCAAGAAAAGUUUCUAAGUUUAGCUAAUGUUGCCCGUACCGUAAACCGACACAGGUGGGUGGGAUGAGUAUUCUAAGGCGCGUGGAAGAACUCUCUUUAAGGAACUCUGCAAAAUAGCACCGUAUCUUCGGUAUAAGGUGUGGUUCGCUUCGUAUUAGGAUUUACUCCGAAAGCGAAGAAACUUACAACAAAGAGUCCCUCCCGACUGUUUACCAAAAACACAGCACUCUGCUAACUCGUAAGAGGAUGUAUAGGGUGUGACGCCUGCCCGGUGCUCGAAGGUUAAUUGAUGGGGUUAGCAUUAGCGAAGCUCUUGAUCGAAGCCCGAGUAAACGGCGGCCGUAACUAUAACGGUCCUAAGGUAGCGAAAUUCCUUGUCGGUUAAAUACCGACCUGCAUGAAUGGCGUAACGAGAUGGGAGCUGUCUCAAAGAGGGAUCCAGUGAAAUUGUAGUGGAGGUGAAAAUUCCUCCUACCCGCGGCAAGACGGAAAGACCCCGUGGACCUUUACUACAGCUUGACACUGCUAUUUGGAUAAGAAUGUGCAGGAUAGGUGGGAGGCUUUGAGUAUAUGACGCCAGUUGUAUAUGAGCCAUUGUUGAGAUACCACUCUUUCUUAU